rnacentral:rRNA from 1 species
AGAUUAAGCCAUGCAUGUCCAAGUACAAGCCUCACUAAGGUGAAACCGCGAAUGGCUCAUUAAAUCACACCUAAUCUACUGGAUAGUUAACAGGUACUUGGAUACCUGCGGUAAUUCUGGAGCUAAUACAUGCGAAAAGCCUCGAACUUACGUGAGAGGCGCUUUUAUUAGAUCAAAACCAAUCGGCUUCGGCUGUACUCUUGGUGACUCUGAAUAACUUUGGGCUGAUCGUAUGGCCUUGCGCCGACGACAUAUCCUUCGAAGGUGUGCCCUAUCAACUGUCGACUGUGGCAUAGACGCCCACAGUGGUUUUGACGGGUAACGGGGAAUCAGGGUUCGAUUCCGGAGAGGGAGCCUUAAAAACGGCUACCACAUCUAAGGAAGGCAGCAGGCACGCAAAUUACCCAAUGACCGAAGGUCGAGGUAGUGACGAAAAAUAACGAUCCAGGACUCAUCCGAGGCCCUGGAAUCGGAAUGAGUACACUUUAAAACCGUCCCCGAGGAUCUAUUGGAGGGCAAGUCUGGUGCCAGCAGCCGCGGUAAUUCCAGCUCCAAUAGCGUAUAUUAAAGUUGUUGUGGUUAAAAAGCUCGUAGUUGGAUCUCGGCAGAUUGAGGGCGGUUUGCUUGCUAGUAUUACUGCCCUAUAAUCCGUAGUUUUGCCAGA